AACAAGGUGGAAUUCCAACAAAUAGAGAGUCGUUUGGAAGACAAAAAUGAAAGAGUAGCCUUGCAAGCAUAUUUGAAAAGACUUGGAGGUGUUGAUUACGUUGAUAUGGUGAAAAAAUCAAUGUCUGCAACUCUCUCAAAUGCUGUGAUGUCACAGAUGAACUUGAAAGGAAAAUGUGGGAAGCUGCCAUUUUCUAAGUCUGUGCUAUGCGAGAUUAUCUGUGACGCUGUCAUCAACACACACAACACUACAAGAUCAAAA